rnacentral:RNase_P_RNA from 1 species
AGAGUUGGUCGGACAGUCGCUGUGCAAUCGCAUAGAGGAAAGUCCGGGCUCCGCAGGGCAAGGUGCCAGGUAACGCCUGGAGGGUGUGAGCCCAUGGCAAGUGCCACAGAAAAAAUACCGCCUCACUUAGAGGUAAGGGUGAAAAGGCGUGGUAAGAGCACACCGCAUCAAUGGUAACAUUGGUGGCAUGGUAAACCCCACCUGGAGCAAGGUUAAAUAGGAGAGCAUUGAGCAUUGCCCGUGCUAGUCUCUCGGGUAAACCGCAAGAGGUAUAUGGCAACAUAUAUCCCAGAUGGAUGACUGUCUAAACAGAACCCGGCUUAUAGACCAACUCACCCC